rnacentral:misc_RNA from 1 species
CACACAUGGUAUGCAAAUCUAUGGCUUGGCAUACAUGAAUAUUCAAGUACAUAGAAUUAGUUGAGCAAUUAGAUGCUCUCUCAGUUCCACAUAGACCAUAAACCUGCAAGUACAAUCACUUCUUCCACCACUUUUCUCUAGUACCACUACCACUAGUCUCACUACUAUAGUAAUACUACUACCACUGUUUGCAUCAAAAGCAGAUUCAAGGUAUCCCCAGAUCUAGCCAUUGCUUCCGUCAAAGCAAACAGAAAUAACCCACAAAAAAAAAUAAAAAGCAGCUAACCCUAAAUAUGCUACUAAAAUACCAUAACUCGUACUAAAAGAAAAACGAAAAGAAAAGUACCCACAUACAAGGUAAUGACUAUCAAGAGUAGCAAUAUUGUAGACUGCCGGAUGAAAGGGUAUUUUUCUUUCUUUCUUUUUUUUUUAAUUUUAAGUUGCACCUGGUGGUGGCUGCAUAGCUUGGAUUUGCUGCUGCGGUGGACGCUUACGCUUCUUUUUCUCAUAGCUAACCCCUCUUGCUUUGGACUGCAAAUCACGAACCUCGCGAAGGUAAAGCCUUACUGCACGAGCUCCAAAAGGGUUUGCUUCAGGUUUGCCUCCAUUUUCCUCGAAGGCUGCCCGGAGGCGUCCGAUGAGCGCGUCGAGACUGCCCCAGGCCUGGCGAAGAGGACACGGGCAGGGAGCAGGGGGAUUUGGGUGGCCAUAAAAAGGGCAGAUUGGGGUGUGCACUUUGGUCUUGCCAAAUUGGUCCAGAUAGCGAAGGAAUUCAAGGACAUGAGCUCCACUGCACCUGGAGAGAGAGAGGGGAGGCCUAUGGUUCUUGAGAUAUUGACCAAAGGUGUUCCAGUCUCGGCGCUUUUGGUUCUCAUAGCGGCUAGGAGUGGUGGAUGAUGAUGGUGAUGAUGAAGUUGCUCCCGAGAUAGUAGUGGUGGUGGUAGUGGUGGUUUUUAUGUUGUCUAAGCUGGUGUUUUCAGAGUAGGAGCGGUCCAUUUCAGAGAUUGACUCCAUGAUUUUGUGGGUGUUUCUUUUCUGAGAUGGAUCUUAUUAAAUUAAAUAUGCAGUUUUGUGAUUUUAUGUUCUCUCUUAACCUUUAAGCCUCCUGCAAAAGGGUUCUUCUUCUAGGGUUACUUCUCCACUUUCUGAACUGAUAACAGAAAACCAAAAGAGAGGAAGUGAAUCUUUGGUUUCUUGAUAAAACCAAGAGGCAAGAGCGGUAGGUGAUCCUAUAAUUUUGCAGAAGUUUGGACUGUUGAUGAAAACAAUCAGCAGAGAGAAGACCAAACUCUAAAAGGAAAGGAUAAAAAAAGAAAGUUUGUGAUAGACUAUAUAUUGUUUAAUAUCACAGAAUUUCCAUUUUUUGAGGAGAGAGAGAGAGAGAGAGA